GAGCGCCUCCCCCUGUCGCGCCGCGAUGGUGCGGCCCGCUCCUCGGCCCCGCCCCGCCCGCGGCAGCUUUGCCAAAGUCCCGGAGUUGGCGAGUUGGGCGCUAACUGGUGCGGGCGGAGCGGGGGUGCGCGGGGGCGCGCGGGGGCGCGCGGGGUCCCCCACCCCCUCCCAGAGCUCUGUCCGCGAGCUCUGCUCCGGAUCCCCCCGGGAGUUCGCGCGCGGCCCGCGGGGGUGGGGGGGGGCUCGGGGCUGCGGCCGCCCACCCCCUCGGCUCGGCUCGGAGGACCAACUUUGCUCCGGGGACUCGGUGGUCCCAGGCGGGAAAUGGAGCCGCAGCUGUGCUCCCCGCGCGCGGCUCUGCGGCGGGCCCUAGUUGUCUUGCCCUCGGGGUCCGGGUCCCUGGCGCUGGCUGUGCACGCUCUCUGUAAGCUGUCGCGUGCUGCGCCCUCCUGCCACCCGACCGCUGUCCGGCCGAGCGGCGGGAGGGGACCCGAGCCUCUGCAGGAGCCCUUCUCACGCAAGCCCAGUCUCCGUGCAGUUGGGAUGCCCUCCGGGCCAGCCUACUAUAUGAGACAUACUUCAGGGGCUGACCCUUGGUCUAGGAUUUGCCUGACCUGGAUCGAAAGGAUGAGCCGAGUUACUCCGAUCCUGUCUCAGAAAUUGGAGUCAAGUGCCACAGAGGGGAAAAGGCAGCUGCUGGUGCUCCCUCAAAGUGCAAAUUCAGUUGGCAUGGUACUCAGCAUGUAG
rnacentral:lncRNA from 1 species